rnacentral:misc_RNA from 1 species
AACGCACGAGACCUGCGGACCUGCGGAAGGAUCAUUAUCGAGUUUACAACUCCCAAACCAUUGUGAAUCUUACCUUUUCGUUGCUUCGGCGGGAUCGCCCCGGGCGCUUCGGUGCCCCGGAUUCAGGCGCCCGCCGGGGGACCUAAACUCUUGUAUUAUAGUGGAUUUCUGAGUGGAUUACACAAAUAAUCAAAACUUUUAACAACGGAUCUCU